rnacentral:lncRNA from 1 species
CUGGAAUAUAAAUCGUUGCUCAUUAGUAAUAUUGGCUCGGUGCUUUCUGACGAACACGUUGAAGACGGACUGUUUCACGAGUUUAAAAAGUUUGGGGACGUUAGUGUGAAACUAUCCCACACCCCAGAACUAGGCCGAGUCGCCUACGUCAAUUUCAGGCACCCGGAGGACGCUAAAGAGGCCAGGCAUGCCAAAACCAGUUACUAGUAGCUGAUGAUGCAGCUGGAAUCGACCAGGCAGGCAGGCUCAGCACUGACGACCGUUGUUCUAGAUGAGAGGACCCUCCACAGCGUGGGUGAGAAGACACUGCAGACGGGGACUAAAAAGCAUUCUGGGUGAGAAGACACUGCAGACGGGGACUAAAAAGCAUUCUGGGUGAGAAGACACUGCAGACAGGGACUAAAAAGCAUUCUGGGUGAGAAGACACUGCAGACAGGGACUAAAAAGCAUUCUGGGUGAGAAGACACUGCAGACGGGGACUAAAAAGCAUUCUGGGUGAGAAGACACUGCAGACAGGGACUAAAAAGCAUUCUGGGUGAGAAGACACUGCAGACAGGGACUAAAAAGCAUUCUGGGUGAGAAGACACUGCAGACAGGGACUAAAAAUCAUUCUGGUGGCAAAAGAAGGGAAUAGGGUAGAACCAGGCGGUGACUGCUUGAGAUUCUAAUCGUUGGAUAAUCUUUAAAAUGUCUGUACUAAGAUUAGAAAAUAGACACUGGUCUGAACUAAGCCACAUUCACUAAUAAAUACUCUGUUUUUUUUUGUUCAGGAUGUCAUGACGGUUGUAUCAGAUAAUUAUAUUUCUAACUUCCUGUCGUAAUGGCAGCUGUGAUGACUAGGAACAGACUUGCCCCAUAUCAUAUAAUUACCCCCAUAACACCAUCCUCAACCCACUCUCCCUAUCUACAAAACCACCAUCCACCCCUCUCUUUCCUAUCCACCCCUUACCUGCACCUCCUGCCCUGGAUAACCCAAUAUCUUAGCCUGUGGCUAUGGCUCCAGCAAGCAGAUGGUAGCUUAUAGAGAAUCCCAGCCCCAGCCCCAACCCAACAACCAGUUUAUUAAUUACCCAUAAUGCCAUCUAGCCCAGCCACUCUGUUUGUACCAGACCUGGGUUCAAAUACUAUUUGAAAUUAAUUUAAAUACAGUAUCUGUGGUUAAAUGAGCAUUCCUGUUGUAAUGGAUCAAAUAGAACCUCCCCCAAAACCCCAAACUUCACCCACUCCAGGAAGGCUAAAGAAAAUGGGCAAAGGUCAGAGGUCUCUCUGUGUGUCCUCCUCGUGUUUCACUGCAGCCUGUAGUCAGUCAGCUGAUUGUCUUGUCAGCUCUCAGGGCCCAUCUGCUUCUCUCCUCUGGGAGAUGGGACAGGAAAUCUGGGAGGGACUGGAUUUAAGGCACCAAGGGUUUUAUUGGAUUGGAUUGUGUUUACACAUAGAGAGGUG